AACGAACGCUGGCGGCAUGCCUAGCACAUGCAAGUCGAACGAGACCUUCGGGUCUAGUGGCGCACGGGUGCGUAACGCGUGGGAACCUGCCCUUAGGUUCGGAAUAACUCCCCGAAAGGGGUGCUAAUACCGGAUAAUGUCUUCGGACCAAAGAUUUAUCGCCUUUGGAUGGGCCCGCGUUGGAUUAGCUAGUUGGUAGGGUAAAAGCCUACCAAGGCGACGAUCCAUAGCUGGUCUGAGAGGAGGAUCAGCCACACUGGGACUGGGACACGGCCCAGACUCCUACGGGAGGCAGCAGUGGGGAAUAUUGGACAAUGGCGAAAGCCUGAUCCAGCAAUGCCGCGUGAGUGAUGAAGGCCUUAGGGUUGUAAAGCUCUUUUACCCGGGAUGAUAAUGACAGUACCGGGAGAAUAAGCUCCGGCUAACUCCGUG
rnacentral:rRNA from 1 species